UACGUAGGGUGCAAGCGUUGUCCGGAAUUAUUGGGCGUAAAGAGCUCGUAGGCGGUUUGUCGCGUCUGGUGUGAAAAUCCAGGGCUUAACCCUGGACCUGCAUCGGGUACGGGCAGACUAGAGUGCGGUAGGGGAGAUCGGAAUUCCUGGUGUAGCGGUGAAAUGCGCAGAUAUCAGGAGGAACACCGGUGGCGAAGGCGGUUCUCUGGGCCUGUACUGACGCUGAGGAACGAAAGCGUGGGGAGCGAACAGG
rnacentral:rRNA from 1 species